rnacentral:rRNA from 1 species
UGCCAGCAGCCGCGGUAAUACGAAGGGUGCUAGCGUUGUUCGGAAUUACUGGGUUUAAAGGGUGCGUAGGCGGCUUGAUAAGUCAGUGGUGAAAGCCCAGAGCUCAACUCUGGAACUGCCAUUGAUACUGUCAAGCUUGAGUGUGGUUGAAGUAGGCGGAAUGCAGCAUGUAGCGGUGAAAUGCUUAGAUAUGCUGCAGAACACCAAUUGCGAAGGCAGCUUACUAAACCAUUACUGACGCUGAGGCACGAAAGCGUGGGGAGCGAACAGGAUUAGAUA